UAAAAAACUAUUUAUUUUAGGUAGUAACAGAAUUCUUGAAACCUAAAGAAUUUGGCGGUAUUUCAAAUAAUUAGAGGAACCUGUUAAUUAAAUGAUACUCCACAACAUAUCUUACCUAAAUUAGAUUUGUAUACCGUUGUUUCCAGGUUAUGUUUAUAGACUAUAACCAAAAUUAAAAGAAUUUUAUAAAUCAAAUCAAGGUGCAGUAUAUUUAGGUUUUCAUGGGUUACAAUAUAUUUAUAUAAACGGAUAAAUAAUGAAAACAUUUUUGAAGGUGGAUUUAAAAGUAAUUUGAAAAUAAAAUGUUCAAAUGAAUAAAAAUUUGAAAUAUGC
rnacentral:rRNA from 1 species